rnacentral:rRNA from 1 species
UUGGUGGGGUGAUGGCCUACCAAGGCGACGACGGGUAGCCGGCCUGAGAGGGUGUCCGGCCACACUGGGACUGAGAUACGGCCCAGACUCCUACGGGAGGCAGCAGUGGGGAAUAUUGCACAAUGGGCGCAAGCCUGAUGCAGCGACGCCGCGUGGGGGAUGACGGCCUUCGGGUUGUAAACCUCUUUCACCAUCGGCGAAGCCCGUAGCUUUUGUUGUGGGUGACGGUAGGUGGAGAAGAAGCACCGGCCAACUACGUGCCAGCAGCCGCGGUAAUACGUAGGGUGCGAGCGUUGUCCGGAAUUACUGGGCGUAAAGAGCUCGUAGGUGGUUUGUCGCGUUGUCCGUGAAAUUCCCUGGCUUAACUGGGGGCGUGCGGGCGAUACGGGCAGACUGGAGUACUGCAGGGGAGACUGGAAUUCCUGGUGUAGCGGUGGAAUGCGCAGAUAUCAGGAGGAACACCGGUGGCGAAGGCGGGUCUCUGGGCAGUAACUGACGCUGAGGAGCGAAAGCGUGGGGAGCGAACAGGAUUAGAUACCCUGGUAGUCCACGCCGUAAACGGUGGGUACUAGGUGUGGGUUUCCUUCCUUGGGAUCCGUGCCGUAGCUAACGCAUUAAGUACCCCGCCUGGGGAGUACGG